UUGUACCCUAGAACUUAAGGUAUAAUAAGAAAAGGGGCAUAAUUAAAGAAAUGAUUUUUAAAAUAUAUAUGCAAUAUUAUGCCAAUAAAGUGUAAUACAGAUAAAAUUGAUAGUCUUAUAAUUUAAAUAUUUAUUGUUUGUUAAUAUACAUAUCAAAACAUUUACAGAACUAUGUGUGUAAAUGCUUACAUGUAAUGAUAUACAUGAUUUUUAAGUGGUCUUAUAUUUGCUUUUCUAUGUCUCAAUUGACCCCUCCCCCUACAGGCACAUGCAUACCCCACGACACCCUGUGUGUAUCACAGGACACGCUUUGACUAACUCCAGGUACUCCAGCCUUCAACUUCUGACUGAGAGCUAUAUCAUCAGCUUCCCUGGUUCUUAGGCCUUCAGGUGACUGGACAACACCGCUGGCUUCCCUGUGCCUCCAGUUUGCAGACCAAGUAUCAUGGAACUUCUCAGCCUCCAUAAUUGUCUUUGCUCCAGUAAAAUCCACACAUGUUUAAUCCCAUCUUGGGGUCUGCUUCUCAGAGGACCUACACCCAUGGUCAAUUACACCUGUCAGUACAACAGCUUUCUUCUUGCCUACUGGAAUCUGGCCAUAACUGUAAUUUGUAGUUCGGUGGAAACCUUGCUGUGUCCCCCUGGCAAAAGUACUAUCUCUCUUUGGGGACCAGGGCAUUCAACCCUGCAGAGAUCAGACUUACAGGGGUAGAAAGCACAAAAUCCACCAGAGGGGCUACUCCUGCUUCCACCCCUUGGUUCCGAAACCUGUUUGUUUUUCUACUGAAGACACAGUAUUAUAUAGAGGUCUAUUAUCUAAUACAUACACCGCAGACUAAAGGAUGGCACCCUACCAUUAGAGUAUUUCUUCUGAGCAGGAGCAUCAGCUGCUAUUUUAGAAGAUGCUUCUACCUUUCCAAGAUACCAGCUGCUUCAGGAUGGUGUAGCAUGUAAUACAAAAGUGGAUCCCAUUGUCAUGAUCCCACUCCAACAUUGCCUUCACUAUAGUCAGUUACUAAAUUGUCCAUGCUUGUGGAUCAGGUAUUCUGUAAGUUUCUAAAUAAUGGAGCCUAGAUAAAAACUCUGCAGGGAGAAAAGCAAACCUAAACCAAAAACAAGUCUCGAAGGUAGUCAGCCUCCAAGAUGGCUCCCUGUGAUUCUCUUCUACUCAUUUUCAAUAUUUUUGUGAACUCUCCCCUGCAUUGAAAGGUCCGACCUUUAUAACCACUAGGAUAUUGCAGACAUGAUGCUGUGUACUUCUGAGGCUAUGCCACAGAAGACAUUGUGACUUCCACAUUUCCCUAUAUUGGAUCACUUGCUCUGGAGGAAGCCAGCCACCACAUAUUAAGACACUCGGGGGCUGGGCACGGUGGCCUACACCCGUAAUCCUAGCACUUUGGGAGGUCAAGGUGGGUGGAU
rnacentral:lncRNA from 10 species